rnacentral:lncRNA from 1 species
CCACAUCUCUACAAUGAUGGAAGACCUCUAGACUCAAUAUUUAAUAAGGAGAUUUAUGUUUAGGUCUCUUCUAAAUCAACAGAUAUAAUAUCUAAUAAAUCAAGUUUAGGUUAGCACAUCCAUAUGUCUGACCAUCCUAGUCGAUGUGGGUGAACUUGAGUUAACAAAUAACCUAGUAUAAAACUAAAUCUUCCAAAAUGGCC